rnacentral:rRNA from 1 species
UACAGAGGGGGCAAGCGUUGUUCGGAAUUACUGGGCGUAAAGGGCGCGUAGGCGGCCUCCUAAGUCGAACGUGAAAUCCCCGGGCUCAACCCGGGAACUGCGUCCGAUACUGGAAGGCUUGAAUCCGGGAGAGGGAUGCGGAAUUCCAGGUGUAGCGGUGAAAUGCGUAGAUAUCUGGAGGAACACCGGUGGCGAAGGCGGCAUCCUGGACCGGCAUUGACGCUGAGGCGCGAAAGCCAGGGGGGCAAACGGG